CCUACGGGUGGCAGCAGUGAGGAAUAUUGGUCAAUGGGCGCGAGUCUGAACCAGCCAAGUAGCGUGAAGGAUGAAUGCUCUACGGGUUGUAAACUUCUUUUAUAAAGGAAUACAGUGAGGCACGUGUGCCUUUUUGUAUGUACUUUAUGAAUAAGGAUCGGCUAACUCCGUGCCAGCAGCCGCGGUAAUACGGAGGAUCCGAGCGUUAUCCGGAUUUAUUGGGUGUAAAGGGAGCGGAGAGGGGUUGUUAAGUCAGUAGUGAAAGUUUGCGGCUCAACCCUAAAAUUGCAAUUGAUAUUGGUAGUCUUGAGUACAUUUGAGGUAGGCGGAAUUCGUGGUGUAGCGGUGAAAUGCUUAGAUAUCACGAAGAACUCCGAUUGCGAAGGCAGCUUACUAAACUGCCACUGACAUUGAUGCUCGAAAGUGUGGGUAUCAAACAGGAUUAGAUACCCGGGUAGUC
rnacentral:rRNA from 1 species